UUGGAGAGUUUGAUCGGGGGGGGAGAUUGAACGCUGGCGGCAUGCUUUACACAUGCAAGUCGAACGGUAACAGGUCUUCGGAUGCUGACGAGUGGCGAACGGGUGAGUAACACAUCGGAACGUGCCUAGUAGUGGGGGAUAACUACUCGAAAGAGUAGCUAAUACCGCAUGAGAUCUAAGGAUGAAAGCAGGGGACCUUCGGGCCUUGCGCUACUAGAGCGGCUGAUGGCAGAUUAGGUAGCUGGUGGGAUAAAAGCUUACCAAGCCGACGAUCUGUAGCUGGUCUGAGAGCACGACCAGCCGCACUGGGACUGAGACACGGCCCAGACUCCUACGGCAGGCAGCAGUGGGGCAUUUUGGACCAUGGGCGAAAGCCUGAUCCAGCAAUGCCGCGGCCAGCAUGAAGGCCCUCGG
rnacentral:rRNA from 1 species